rnacentral:lncRNA from 1 species
GGGAACUCAGCUGCUACCAUAAAGCCAAUGAAGUUAUGACAGCAGGGCCCAGGAGGAAUCAGAGCUGAGUAAAACCUGUCGAGGCUGCUGACAAAUGAUGAUAAAGUGGUCGCUUUUGCCAGUGCUCAAUGGAAAUUGACAAAGAACAGAAACUGAGGCUCAGAUGGCACCUACGUCACAGAGACCCCAACCGCUCAGAGAGCAAUUGUCUCCAUAACUCCUAUUAAAUGUGCGCAGCUCUGAUUCUUAUAAAGUAAUGUCAGUUACAGAACAAUACCAGCCUGCCAGGCAAGACACAUUAGAGGAACAAGGCGGGUGGCGUGGGGGUGGGGGGAGAGACACCCCCACCACCAACCCUCAGAAUACAAUGCACCAGCUGCACAUUAAU